rnacentral:tRNA from 1 species
GCAAUAGUAGCUCAGCGAC